GCCUUCGUGGUGUAAUGGUCAGCACACUGAGCCGGUAUUUCAGAGGUCCGCGGUUCGAUUCCUGGCGAAGGCG
rnacentral:tRNA from 1 species